rnacentral:lncRNA from 1 species
GGUUGUUCCGCCACGUUUGAGCGGGCGAGCCCGGCGGCCGGGAGACGCCAGGGAACGGGGCUGGUGGGGGUACAAAGGCUCGGUUCCGUCGCCUUCAGCCCUGCGGUGGGGGCACGGGGCAAGUGAGGGGACGGCAGAGGCGGCGUUCGGUGUGAGGCUGCGCCCUGGGCUCCUGAAAAUCCAGGGCUGCAGUCAUUUGAAGGCUUGACUGGGGCUGGAGGAUUUUCAUCCAAGAUGGCUCACUCACCCAGCUGUUGGCAGGAGACCUCGGUUCUUUGACUUCUCCGUAAGACUGUAGUACAGGACAUUUACUUUGUGGACUGCCAUUCAAUUUGACAACAGAUUUGUUUUUAAUGUGCACUUUCUGGAAACAAGAUAUUGUUCCUCAAAGAAAUGAAAAAAAUGUUGGGAAUACAUAAGACAUCAUAACAGACACCAGCCUGAGUCGAAGCUGUUAAAGAGGCCAAGAAUUCCCAAGCUUUCCCAGGCAAACGGGGAAGAACACUGGGAUGCCUUUUCCUCCUCCUCUGUCCAUCUGCAGGCCAAGUGUGCAUCAGUCACAGGCAAACUCUGAAUUGAGCUUUGUGCAAGUCUCUGGAAAGAGACCCAAGAUCGUGUGAUGAGCAAAAGUGACAGUGCUGGAGGCAGCGACAUCUGCAGAGCCAGCCCCAUCCCUAUCUGCAGCAGAAUAUGUAUGGGGAUCCUUUAUGUGAACAAUCCACCCAGGGUAGAAUGGGGCUUUUGACAUCAGCUGAGACCCAGGCGGCCUUACAAUGAGAGGGCUGUUGGUCAAAGGAAGGACUGUUUAAUGAACUGAGAAUCUGAGGCCAGCUCUGGCCAUCUGCACUUGGAAUCAUUAGAGCAACUCUACUGUAACUGGCAACCUUGAAUAAUGCAGCAAAUUCAUAUUCCAAAAUUGUGAACUUUAAAAUUUUGUGUUUGUGUCUAUGAUGAAAAGCAUUAUAUAAACAUUUGAUACUACAAUUUUAUUAGUAAGGAAGGCUGAAAAAGUAUCUCUCUUUUGACUCUGAGGUCAAUAAUGAUAAUGGCUUUUCCCCUACACUGGGAUAGAAAUGUUCUGUCAAGGAUAUGAAAACACUUUAUGAAAAUGAAAUUCAUUAAAGCCCUUAAUAAUCAGGUAGGGAAGGCAGGUGCUCACAAUUGUCACCUGUUGGUGAGUGAACACCUUAGGCUCGGGGAGGACAAUGACUCAAGAACAAGGUCGAAUUGCAGGUGGGGGGUGAAGCUGAUCCCUAACAGUGUCCUCCAGCCCCUGGCACUGAGGAAGGACAUGGAGGGCUUGCAUCGACUUUUCCUGGCAGGCUUGUGAUUCCCAGCCAGAAUGCAGGUGGCAAUGUUGUGAUUCCUGGCGUAACCUUCAAUGCUUCAAUGAUAAUCUCUGCUGGUGCCAGGCACCAGCUGAGUGUCACUGUGCAGCUCCCAGGCUUAAGUGAUGCAUGCCGAGGUUUUCAGAGCAGUCUCUCAUUUAUUAGUUGUGUUGGAAAGAAAUCUGUACUACCUAACUGGGUACCUCUGGAUUUUAACAGCUGUGGUUUAUAAGAGAUAUGAGAGGGGGUUUGUUUUCAAAGUGCCUUUCACAAAGUAACACCUUAGACUGUAGUUUACAUUCCAUUCCAGUAGGAUAACUUGCAACACUUCUGUGCUCAGAAAUCCAACUGUGCAAGAAAAGUCAGGUUAUAUUUUCAUACAGCCCGUUCUGGCAAAUAUGCCUUCACACCACUUUCCCUCCUCCUCACCGCUAUUGGCAAUAGUCCCAAUGGAAGAGUUUUAUGUCAAAUGCUGAGUAUCUUGGAAGCUGUCCUGCACAGACACGACUGCUUGGCUGCGUGUUGGAGAGUCGCGGUUGGACUGGGAGACCAGGAAGGUCCCUUCUGGUCUGAGAUGUGAUGACUCUAGAACUAAUUAGUUUCAACUCAUAACACGAAAUGAUACUAGCUACCAUUUGGUGGGCUUUUUCUGUGUUCCAGGCUCUGUGCUAAGAUCUUAGCAUUACUCUAAUUACAAAAUCCCUGCCAAUAUUAUCCUCAGUUUACGCAAGAACAAAUGGGUUUAGGGAAAUCAAAAACUUGUCCAAUGACACAGAUUUAAGAUUUAGCAACUGAUGGCCACGUGGAAAUGGAUUACAGAUUAUUCUAAUUGGACACUCUAAACGUGCAAUUUAACCAGAAUGAAAUUUAGGGCUGCGUGCUGUGGCUCAUGCCUGUAAUCCUAGCACUUUGGGAAGCCAGGUGUAUCCCUUAAGCCCAGGAGUUUGAGAGCAACUUGGGCAACAUGGUGAAACCUGUAUCUACAAAAAAUACAAAAAUUAGCCAGGUGAGGUGGUGUAUGCCUGUAGUUCCAGCUACUUGGGAGGCUGAGAGAUGGGAGGAUUGGUUGAGCCUAGGAGGUCGAGGCUGCUGUGAGCUGUGAUGGUUCCACUGCACUCCAGCCUGGGCGACAGAGACAGACUCCAUCUCAAAAAAAAAAAAAAAAAAAGUAGCUACCUUGUGGUUGCACUCGUCUGAGACUAGCUCAUGGCUCCAGCUCUCAGGGUGGUGAGUAAUGAUUCUGUGGUCAGACGCAGUUUUGAAGUCAGGCAAGAAAACCUUCAACAAGAGUUAGAGAUGUCCUGUCUAUGAAUUUCUCCUCUAGGCUUAGGGAUAGCCCUGGGAUUCAUGUCAUGCCAGUUAGGGAUCCACUCAUUGUAAGCAAUACAAGUGCCCCCGAAGAGACAGUGCAUUAAUUGUCACCCCUUAGGAGCAUUGUGUGAAUUAGUGUGAUUUAGCACAUGCCCAGAGGGAUGAAACUCUAGCUCCAUAGGGUAGGUCCUGAUUACUCCUGGAGCAGGCAGCCAGCUCAGCUCAUGGGGAGCUCUGAGAAGUCUCUCAAUGCCUCGCAUGCAGCCCCUGCUCAGGAGUCAUGUGUCACUUCACAGUCUUGCUUUCCAGUGGGUCAAAGCAUGAUGUUUAUGAGAAACAAAUACACAAAAUUCUGACUUGUGUGAAUACAGAACACGUGCAAUAAAACGACUGCAAUCUAUUUUUAAAAUGUGGUCUGAGAAGUCAGGUUUAAUAUGACUAUGUAAUAUAUAAACAAUAUAUUUUCCACAGAAAGGAAAAUAUAAAUAAUAAAAUAUGUCUAUUUCUUUUUUUUGGUGGAAAAUUACUCCCACAAUUUGGUCCCAAGGGGGUCUUAAUUUGUCAUCAGGUCUGUGGCUAAAUGUCUUAUAAAGGAAUGCUUCUUUCUUUCGAGAAGUGUACAGGAACAGUCUGCACUGACUGCUUUUACCUGUAAAUGUUUUGAGAAUUCAGAAGUCACUUUCCUUCCACAAUAGGUGCUAGGCAUUUUAUUUAAAUAAAGCAAAAACAUUUCUGUCAUAAAGAAGGUGUUAAUAACCUCAAAGCUAUGCGAAAUAUACUAGUACAAUCUAAUACUCAUGGUGAAAAAUACAGUAAUUAAGAGCAAUUCAAGUUUUUUUGUUUUGGUUUAACUUCAGAAUUAAAAUAAACUCAGAAUUAAAAAAAUAAAAAAUGGUUUUAUUACAUGUCAGAGUAUUGAGAUACAAAAUAUAUACCAGAU